CCCGCCAGCCCCGCGCUCUACCAGGCAGAGCGCGUGUGGCCGCCGAGCACAUGGACCCACUGGUCAAGCGGGCUCGGCAAGGCCAGGAUGAAGAGAAGCUACGAACUUAGCAUUCCCAGAGCCCCCCGAGUGGAUAUCCGCGUGGAAAGGAUGUUGGCAGCCCCGGUGACCUCGGAGUCACGGCUGGAUCCACCCUCUUGUCUGAUUUUCUUAACUCUACUACGGUAAGAAGAUGCCCUCCAUCAGCAGGCCGUGUCUGCUGGGACCUCUCUGGAGACUUCCUGAACCCUGUGGAUUUACAGUAAGAUGCAGUUUCCUGGGGAGUAAUUCUGGUGGAUACAAAUUCCGGAGUAUUACACCUGGCUUGCCUGGAGAUGUUACAAGUAGCUGGAUGGAUUCUUCAGCCUGGAUGCCCACUGAAAACAAGGACCGAAACUAAGAGGAUUGUAUCUCUACCCUUGACUCAAUGAGAAUGUUUGUUGUCAUCUCUCGGGCUACCUGGAGCUCCCUCUAAAAUGGGCUGGGACACUGCCUGAUUGAGGUGGCCAUUGAGAAUUCAAGUGUACCUCUUGGUCCCUGAUGCAGAAAUGAAGUCCCCAGCAUGCUCAAGAAGAGCUUCCUUGGAGGAUGAGAGGCAUGGGAAUCUAAGUAUACCCUUUAAGCGUUCCAGAAGGAUUUUGAGAUCCUUUCCUAAAUCAAAGGUGGAAUAUUUGGGGAUUUGGAAAAUUGAGCAUUUUUUUCCCCACUUGCUUGACUGUAAUGCUAACAUGCUCUCUCUGCUCCAACCUGGAGAAGCCAGUCUCUCAGAAGAACCAGUUGUGUUACUUUGCUGUGAGAUGCCUGCCCUAAGAGAGGAGCAGAAGGUCGGAACGGGUCCUCUAAUGUGAUAAUUAGGCUCGGCUCUCCAGUGUGGUUUUCCAACAGGAGUCAAAUAUUAAAGGACAUGAGCGUGUUGGGGAAAAAGAUGGAUAGUGCUAAACAGCCUGAGUUCAUCCUCACUAUCCUCUUCAUAAGGAGAGCAAGAACAACCCCGGAAAUGGCUCAUGCUUAAGGUUUCUAACCACGGUCACACCUACAACACACUGAUUGACAAUAUAGGUUACAGUACACA
rnacentral:lncRNA from 1 species